UAGGGAAUCUUCCACAAUGGACGCAAGUCUGAUGGAGCAACGCCGCGUGAGUGAAGAAGGGUUUCGGCUCGUAAAGCUCUGUUGUUGGAGAAGAACGUGCGUGAGAGUAACUGUUCACGCAGUGACGGUAUCCAACCAGAAAGUCACGGCUAACUACGUGCCAGCAGCCGCGGUAAUACGUAGGUGGCAAGCGUUAUCCGGAUUUAUUGGGCGUAAAGCGAGCGCAGGCGGUUGCUUAGGUCUGAUGUGAAAGCCUUCGGCUUAACCGAAGAAGUGCAUCGGAAACCGGGCGACUUGAGUGCAGAAGAGGACAGUGGAACUCCAUGUGUAGCGGUGGAAUGCGUAGAUAUAUGGAAGAACACCAGUGGCGAAGGCGGCUGUCUGGUCUGCAACUGACGCUGAGGCUCGAAAGCAUGGGUAGCGAACAGG
rnacentral:rRNA from 1 species